GGUUUUACUGCAAUAAUAUACACAUAUUUGUAUUCAGCGAUGUCUCACUUGUAAAAUUAUGUACAGGUUCUAUGGUAUAUGAUCUAAGUAUAUAUUUAAUUUUAAACUGUGUUUUAACUGUAUUUUAAUUUAUUUCAGGCAGCAGGGGGACUACCUGUCAUUCCAGGCACUCCCCCUGCUGCCACUGCUAUGGAUGGCAAUUCCGCCCAUGUGAUCGUGAGGUCCUUGGAAGGACCUCGCGAUCACUUGGCCCAGGAGGACCGGAUCGGCAGCAGGUAAGUCCCCCCAUCGCGAUCGC